AUAUUGCACAACGGGGGAAACCCUGAUGCAGCGACGCCGCGUGAGCGAAGAAGGCCUUCGGGUCGUAAAGCUCUGUCCUAAGGGAAGAAACGGACGGUACCUUAGGAGGAAGCCCCGGCUAACUACGUGCCAGCAGCCGCGGUAAUACGUAGGGGGCGAGCGUUAUCCGGAAUUACUGGGCGUAAAGGGUGCGUAGGCGGCCUUUUAAGUCAGAUGUGAAAGCCCGCGGCUUAACCGCGGAACUGCAUUUGAAACUGGAGGGCUUGAGUGUCGGAGAGGGUAGUGGAAUUCCCAGUGUAGCGGUGAAAUGCGUAGAUAUUGGGAGGAACACCAGUGGCGAAGGCGACUACCUGGACGAUAACUGACGCUGAGGCACGAAAGCUAGGGGAGCAAACAGG
rnacentral:rRNA from 1 species